rnacentral:ncRNA from 2 species
UGUUUUAUUAGUGUUCCAGAAUAAUCGGCUAUACAUUUUAGAUUUGAACUCUGGGUUGGGUUUUGUAAUAAUUUGUUGUUUUUUUUAUUUUGUUAUUUUUUGUGAAAUGUUGAUAUUUGUUUUUUAAUGUUAUUACAAUUAAAUAUUUUUUGUUGAAUUGGAUUAGUACCCAUGUAAAUAAUUUUUAUUAAUGCGGGAGUAAAUUAGUUUUUAAACCGUAAAAAUAUUGACUGAUUUUUAAUUUUUCUUUGGAAGAUGUGAUUGGAGAGCCCUCCUUACUGGAAAUUUUUUUUUGGCUCAUGUAUGAUUGUUUAAUUUUUAUAAUUUUUGUUAUGUUAAAAAAUUUUCUUUAUAAAAAUAGAUAUAUACUUGGUGUAUAAUUUUUUUUAAUCAUUUGUUACUAUAAUUUAUAUUUCGGAUUGAAGUUUUGGAUUUUUAUGAAGUUGGAAAAGAUAGUAAAUAGAUUUUUAUGUUCUUUUGAAAUAAUUUAAAAUGAAUGGUACAAACCAUCCGUCAAUGGUCUGAAGGGGCGUAAGUUGUAGUAUGGUAGGGGUAGGGAAAUCUGUCCCUA